rnacentral:lncRNA from 1 species
CUCUUCCCGGCAUGGGUUUCUGCCCAGCUCACCCGCUGUCAGCUGGGGUCCUGCUCUGGUGGGAGGAAGAGGCUCAGACGCUUCCCUGCCCUCUCGCCUCAACCACCUCGAGGCAGCGGCUCCCAGGAUGUGCACUUUGACGACUAAAGCUGAGCCGGCGCCGCCACGACCUUGGGCGGGUGGUCGGCCUCUGCCCUGAGCAGGAAGUAGAAAGUCUCAGCAGACCCUUCCUGAGGGCCGAGCAACAGUGUAGUGGCGUAUUCCACAUAGCAAACAGGUCCCCAGACAGUCCCGGUGUGCACACUUCCCUGCUUCUGUUCAUGAUGUUCUCUGAACCUGGGAUCACCUUUCCCCUUCCUCUUACCUGCCCGAUCCUACUUGUCCUCCCAGAUUCAGUUUUCUGAAGCUCAGAGGGACACCUUGUAUUGCUGGAUGAUAAAAACAGGAGCAAAGUGAUGAAGUGCUGACAAGGCAACAAUAGAACAUGAGAGAUUCACUGCUGUGUAGGAAGAGAUCUUCGGUGACCAUGUAGCCUGAAGCUCUCAUUUUGUCAUCGAGGGACACCAAAACUCAGAACAGUGCUAAGCUCCUACAUCCUGUUCUGGAAGGACAAUCCUGAGCACACGAUGAGCCAUAUAAACUUCAGACUGACGCUGAGUGAAAGAAUGCUGGAAAAGCAUCACAGGCCAGGGCAGCAAAGUCUUCAAGGUCAUCCGUGCUCU